UAAGGCUACAUACUCCUGAGACACCGAUAGUGAACGAGUACCGUGAGGGAAAGGUGAAAAGAACCGGGAAUACCGGAGUGAAAAGAACCUGAAACCGUGUGCUUACAAGCAGUCAGAGGGCUUUUGUGGCCUGAUGGCGUGCCUUUUGCAUAAUGAGCCUACGAGUUACUCCUCCCCGGCAAGGUUAAGCGCUUAUAGGCGCGGAGCCGCAGCGAAAGCGAGUCUGAACAGGGCGCGCAGUCGGGGGGGGUAGACGCGAAACUUUGUGAGCUACCCAUGCGCAGGUUGAAGGUGCCGUAACAGGCACUGGAGGACCGAACCAGUUUCCGUUGAAAAGGAUUUGGAUGACGUGUGGGUAGGGGUGAAAGGCCAAUCAAACUGAGAAAUAGCUCGUACUCCCCGAAAUGUAUUGAGGUACAGCGUCGGCGUUGAGGUCGUUGGAGGUAGAGCUACCAAUAGGACUAGGGGGUGUCAGAGCCUACCGAAUCCUGAUGAACUCCGAAUGCCAACGGCUAUAGCCGGCAGUGAGGCCUGGGGUGCUAAGGUCCCCGGCCGAGAGGGAAAGAACCCAGACCAACAGCUAAGGUCCCUAAAUCUAGAUUAAGUUGAACAAAGGAGGUCCAGUUGCUUUGACAGCCAGGAGGUUGGCUUGGAAGCAGCCAUUCCUUUAAAGAGUGCGUAACAGCUCACUGGUCGAGCGACCGGGCAUCGAUAAUACGCGGGCAUCAAAUCUAGUACCGAAGCUUUGGAUGUUGCUUUAUGCAACGUGGUAGGGGAGCAUUCUCCUUGCGGUGAAGCCGCCUCGUCAGGGGUGGUGGAGCGUGGAGAAACGCAUAUGUAGGCAUGAGUAACGAUAAUGCGGGUGCGAAACCCGCACGCCGAUAGACUAAGGUUUCCAGCUCAACGCUAAUCGGAGCUGGGUUAGUCGGGACCUAAGGGGCAGCCGAAGGGUGAACUCGAUGGACAGCAGGUUAAUAUUCCUGUACCGAUGAAUGGAAGUGAUGCAGUGACGCAGAAGUGAAAGCACCGCGGGCGGACGGAAGUGCCCGUUAAAGACCGUAGGUAUUGGAAGAGUAGUUAAGUACGCUCAUCUAGCCGAAAGUUGACAGUACCGCACGUCCUUCGGGACACGCGGAUAGUGUGCCUAAUCCGACUGCCAAGAAAACCUGCUAAGCGUUUUAACCCAUUUAUCGCCCGUACCGCAAACCGACACAGGUAGUCAAGGAGAGCAUCCUGAGGCG
rnacentral:rRNA from 1 species